GUAAGGAAUAUUGGUCAAUGGACGCAAGUCUGAACCAGCCAUGCCGCGUGCAGGAAGACGGCCCUACGGGUUGUAAACUGCUUUUGUACCGGAAUAAACCUUUUCACGUGUGAGAAGCUGAAUGUACGGUAAGAAUAAGGAUCGGCUAACUCCGUGCCAGCAGCCGCGGUAAUACGGAGGAUCCAAGCGUUAUCCGGAUUUAUUGGGUUUAAAGGGUGCGUAGGUGGCCUAUUAAGUCAGGGGUGAAAGACGGUAGCUUAACUAUCGCAGUGCCUUUGAUACUGAUGGGCUUGAAUACACUUGAGGUAGGCGGAAUGUGACAAGUAGCGGUGAAAUGCAUAGAUAUGUCACAGAACACCAAUUGCGAAGGCAGCUUACUAAAGUGUUAUUGACACUGAGGCACGAAAGCGUGGGGAUCAAACAGGAUUAGAAACCCUAGUAGUCC
rnacentral:rRNA from 1 species